rnacentral:lncRNA from 1 species
UUACAGAAGGGAUAAAGCCCCAAAAGUGUCCCCCGACCUUGAUCCACCACUGCCAGUUGGCUCUUAAAAGUUCUACAGAGCUACAUUUUUCCCGUCAAUGUAGAUUGUGAUGAAAAAUUAAAUUGGCUCAUGAGCCAUAUACAGAAGACUUCUAAAAUCAACACUGAAGUGUUUCCCUUUCUCAGGAUUUGGCUGUGAAGCGUGACCAACCAAGCCAGGAGGAAGGGGAGGGAUCUUGGAGCUGGCCCACGAUCUGCAAAGAGGAAAGGAUGGCAGGGGAGGGGCAGAGAGGAGCGGCAUAUCUCAGCUCAGAAGCAGACGGAGGAGCUGCAGCUGAAGGCGCCAGGUGAAACAUCCGACACAUGUGGGAACCUUAGUGGUGAUGCAGGCAACAGCAGCUUGAGCAAACAUAUGGAAGUGGGAAGCACAGAGCAUGUGAAGGAAACUGUUUAUUACAGUUGGGAUAAAAUAAAAGGAAAGUUCACAUGAAGGAGCUGUGCGGCAUACUGAAGUAUGGAGGUUGCCUGAAGGAAAAGAAUUUAUGCCAACCGUUUGAUCAACAAGCUGAACUAGCAGUUUUUGUUUAUAGAAUAUCAUUUUUACAUGAAAUAAAAACUAAAAGUAUUAGUAUUUAAAGUUGGGUAUUUGGCACACACUUUCUCAAACGCAAAAUUAGCCUGUUGCUUCAAAAAAAAAUAAUAACUGACCUAUUUGUUGCCAAUGAUAAAAGUCAAGCCUUCAAACAAAAAUUAGAUACUUGGAAAAAUUGUAUCUGCCACCAAGAGUGUGACAGCUUUCCCAAUAUGCAGACGGUUAAUAAGACGGUAUUGUGUCCUUAAAAAUUUGUAGAGGGUAGAUCUCAUGUUAAGUGUUUUUAAUACACAAAAUAAAAAUAAAACACAAAGACACAAGGAAACUUUGGAGGUGAUGGACACGUUUAUCACCUGGAUUGUGGAGAUGGUAAAUGUAAUAUAAAGUUUAUUUGCAAUGUGGAAUAUGGAGCCAUAUGAGUGAAUGUUUCUCACUUUGUGGUAUUUAAAUCCAUUGGUCUUUCUUUCAUUUUGGAUCUUUCUUAUUCAUGCAUGAUUUGGAAAAUACUGGCUCAUGGAAAUAAAUGUUAGCACAUUUUAUAAUGCCAAAUACAGGAGUGUAUACAUUUGUCCAAACUCAACAAAUUCUAUACAUUGAUUAUAUGCAGGUUUUUGUAUACCAAUUAUAUCUCAAUAAAGCUGGAGGGGAAGAAGACUUUUC